GUGAAGACACUUAUGCCACCAAUCACUGACCAGCUGCUCCCCCACUGGCAUUCUGUAGUGUUGCCUACUGCCUGCCUAGCAACCCCAGCCUAGCCAAACCAGCCAACUUCUCUGUGAAUUGGUGGACUAAAUCACACCUUCUCCAACAAGGUCUGAACCCCUUCCAGGUAUUCUAAAGAAACAAAAUAGCAACUGAAGAAGCAAAUGCAAGUAAAAACCACGGAAUCUAUGUUCAGAGCAAGGCAAUCACUUGAAAACUAUAGUUUGAUGGAUUGAAAUCUUUGAAGGGUUAGCUUCAGUUCUGAUUCACAACACCUUCACUCCAGGACCCAGGCUGAAGGGAAACCCACACAGCCAGGCCUCCUGGCAAAAGGAAGAGAAAGGCUAGCAGAACCAUGCAAAGGCUCUUAAGCGUCUGAUGGAAAGAGAUUCAGAUCCUGGAGGAAGAGACCAAAUCCUAAGCCACUGACUUCACUGCAUUACUAUACAAAUGAAAGAACUUACUAGAAACAGUGAUCUGGAGGACUCGGUCUAAACUAGAAACUGCUGUUGAUCGUGCCUGAACUCCAAAAGUAUUUUGAAGCUCUU